AGGGUGACAAAAUAAAAAAGGUAGAGAUGUGUAACCUUCAAAAGAUCAACCUAUAUCAGAAAUCACUUGAUCUGUACAUUUGAUAGAUAAGAAAGAAAAUUACUCAUAAAAGAUAGAAAAAAAAGGAAAAUAUGACAAUUUUUCAGCAGUACGUAUUUUUUUACCCUUUGUAUUUUGUUUAUACAAUCAUAAAGUGAUUAUGAACCAGAGAUUUCUAUUAAAUAUUGUAAGCUAAAUAUUUAUAUUAAGUAAAUCCUCAAUUAUAUAAAUCAAUCAAACAUUUAUUGAGUAACAAACCUUGACAUUAACUAGUUUAGAAAGAUAUGUAUUGAACAUCAAAAUUAAUUAAAUAUAUACUUAUAUCCUAAAGAACAUAAAAUGUCAUCUUCUAUAUUCUGAUAAUUAAACAAUUAACAUAAGUUAUAUAGAUUAAAAAAUAUGCUAAAAUACUAAUUAUAAGUAGAAAAUGAAAAAGAAAAAAAGAAAAAAGAAUAAUUACAAGAAAAUGAAAAAGAAAAAAUGAAAAUAGAAUAAUUACAAGAAAAUGAAAAUGUGACCGUAUGUUAUAAAGGAAACCAACUCAAUCAUUUUUCCAGUGUUACAUUAGCACCAUCUUUAUUAUUUUGAGAUCCUUAUAAUCCUAACAACCAUCUCAAUCUCAUCAAAAUAAUACGAAAACCCUAUCAUAAUCAUUGGUGACGCAAGAAUAAAAUUGAAAAUAAGAAGAAACACAGAUGAAUAGAGUGACAAAAUGAGAGAGUUAGAGAUGUGUAACCAUCAAAAGAUCAACCUAUAUCAGAAAUCACUUGAUCUGUACAUUUGAUAGAUAAGAAUGAAAAUUACUCAUAAAAGAUAGAAAAAAAAAGAUGACAUAUAUAUAAAUCAUAAAAUGAAUAUGAACCAGAGAUUUCUUUUAAAUAAAGUAAGCUAAAUAUUUUCAUUAAGUACAUCCCCAAUUAUAUAAAUCAAUCAAACAUGUAAUGAGUAAAAAACAUUGACAUUAAAUAAUUUAGAAAGAUAUGUAUUGAACAUGAAAAUUAAUUAAAUAUAUACUUGUAUGCUUAAGAACAUAAAAUGUCAUCUUCUAUAUUCUGAUAAUUAAACAAUUAACAUAAGUUAUACAGAUUAAAAAAUAUGCUAAAAUACUAAUUAUAAGUAGAAAAUGAGAAAGAAAAAAAGAAAAUAGAAUAAUAACAACAAAUUUAAAAUGAGAUCGUAUGGUAUAAGGGUAACCAAUUCAAUCAGUUUUCCAGUGUUACACUAGCACCACCUUUAUUAUUGUAAGAUCCUCAUAAUCCUAACAAACAUCUCAAUCUCAUCAAAACAAUACGAAAAACCCUAUCAUAAUCAUUGGUGAUGCAAGAAUAAAAUUUAAAAUAACAGGAAACACAAAUGAAUAGAGUGACCAAAUAAACAAGUUAGAGAUAUGUAACCUUCAAAAGAUAAACCUAUAUCAAAAAUUACUUGAUCUGUACAUUUGAUAGAUAAGAAAGAAAAUUACUCAUAAAAGAUAGAAAAAAAAAGGAAAAUAUGAAAAAAUUUCUGUUGUACGUUUUAUUUACCCUUUGUAUUUGUUUUAUACAAUCAUAAAGUGAUUAUAAAUCAGAGAUUUCUAUUAAAUAAUGUAAGCUAAAUAUUUUUAUUAAGUACAUCCUCAAUUAUAUAAAUCAAUCAAACAUGUAAUGAGUAACAAACUUUGAGAUUAAAUAGUUUAGAAAGAUAUGUAUUGAACAUCAAAAUUAAUUAAAUAUAUACUUGUAUCCUUAAGAACAUAAAAUGUCAUCUUCUAUAUUCUGAUAAUUAAAGAAUUAACAUAAGUUAUACAGAUUAAAAAAUAUGCUAAAAUAGUAAUUAUAAGUGGAAAAUGAAAAAGAAAAAAAGAAAAUAGAAUAAUUACAAGAAAAUGAAAAAGAAAAAAAGAAAAAAGAAUAAUUACAAGAAAAUGAAAAUGA
rnacentral:lncRNA from 1 species